UACGAAGGGGGCAAGCGUUGUUCGGAAUGACUGGGCGUAAAGGGCGCGUAGGCGGUUUGUUGCGUCAGAUGUGAAAUCCACGGGCUCAACCUGGGAAUUGCGUUGGAGACUGCAAGGCUGGAGUCUGGCAGAGGGGGGUAGAAUUCCACGUGUAGCAGUGAAAUGCGUAGAGAUGCGGAGGAACACCGAUGGCGAAGGCAGCCCCCUGGGCUGACACUGACGCUCAGGCACGAAAGCGUGGGGAGCAAACAGG
rnacentral:rRNA from 1 species